rnacentral:lncRNA from 1 species
GCCGGACACACUUCUACAUUGCCUGGAUUUUUAACAACAAGCAGAUAUAAAAUAAGUUCAUUGUUUUUUACUGGAGUUUCAUCCUUUGCAUCCUCCAGCCUACGUUUAAGGCUGAAUUCAUACUUAGUGACCCGACAGUACCUGCUGGCUGGCCUGGCAGUGCUCCAAGGAGACCCAGGACGCUCAGGCCACCCGGUACAAACACAGCCCAGCAUCAAGAAAACAGCACUGAAUCAGUCAGUCUUGGAUCUGUAACCAGCUGGCUGUGCGACCUUAGCCCACACUCUGGAGGCCGCAUUGCUGGCUGGUUAAGAAAUGUGGGCUCUGGAAUCAGGUUUGUAUCCCAGCUCCACCACCUAUCAGCUGUGUGACCUUGGGGAUGAACCCAGGAAGCCCUUGAGGAUUGCUGCCACUCAAAAUCCCCUGGACUCUUGUUGGUGACGGGGCAGGAGUGGAGAGGAGGACAAAGCCGGCAGCCAGCAAAGGAGGGCCCAAGUUCAAAGGUGUUAAAAGACCCGUGGCUUUGGGUGUCUCAACCAGCAAACUUCUCCUCCCUCACGGACUUUCUACAGGCUUGCAAGCCAACUGGUUUCCCCAGUGGGGAAAGUAUACCACCACUGUCUAAAAGGAGGGCCUCUCGCCAUGGAUGUGCUACAAGAGGAGAUAACAAAUGCAUUUGGGUUUCCAAUGGCCCAGCUGCACCGUGUUAAGAAAAACGCCGUUUUCCUGCUCUUAAUCCAUUCCUGGUGGAGAUGUUGCUUCAACUUGAAGGAGCCUUUUAUGUGCUGAAGUCAACUGCAAUCUAAAAGAUAAGUUAAAUCACUUAUUCAGGAAGACAGGAAGCCUUUGACAGCAGUGACUGAUUAAGAUUUCACAGCAGCCAGAGCCAGGCCUACGGAACCCAAAGAGUGCUCGUUCCCUCACCAACCAGCACUGUUGGCCCCUCCUUGGCAGCAAGCCAAGCUCAGAAUCCUACCCUCGGGGAGAUUUCCCUCUGACAGAGCAUGGAGGGGGCUGGAGCAGACAGAGGGGAGUGCUAAGUCCCAGCAGGUGAACCUGAGAGCCCUGAUGACAGGAACUAGAGAUACCCCACCCUCUGCCCAGCCCCCUUCCUCACCUCCAUUUAGCCUUGGCCUGGUCUCCCAUGGUCAGCUCAAGGGUCCCCUCUUCCAGGAAGCCUUCCCUGACCCUACAGGCCAGGACUCGCAGGUGCCUUUACACAACAUGUUCCUAGAGCACUUGUACUUUACCCCAUCCUCGCACCUUUGACUCUGAAGACUUGCCUGUCACCUGGCAUGGCAGCCACUUGACUGUGAGCACUCUGGGGGCAGCACAUGGUACCAUGCUGGAUGCCCACUAAGCUCUUGGCACGUGUUUGGAAGGCAGAGGAACCUGAGCUCAGGGAACAGAGUGACUACCUGCCUUGCCAGUGUCACCUGCCAGCUUAUCCAAGUGCUCACAGCCCUGCUGGCUGCUAACCACUGGGCCAGGCCCUGGGGGCAUCCGCAGUAUUCCAACAGGGCUUCUUGUCCUAAAAUGCCACCCAGGCCCCAAAGGCCCACUGUUAGAAUCCACUCUUUUAGCAAAGCAUCACCUCCAGAAAGUUCCCAUCCCCAAGAGGAGGCACAGUCUCACCCUGUGGUCCUCUUCAUCUGCUUGGCCAGCCAGGGAUGGGGCUCAGGGGAAGGAUUAAUCUAGGGCCCAGGAUGCUGACCAGGGUGAGCAGGCUGGAGGAGGCACUGGGGUGGGCAGUCCAUGGGCAGCCUGGGGGCACUGGGUCCAGAAGAUGAAAGUAUGCCUCAAGGGCAUCAAGGUAAGAUCCCAACUUUACACAUGAACAAAACCCUCAGAAGAGCAGAACUGGGCUAAGUUCAGGACAGAAGAGAUGUGCAAGCAGGUGAGCAAAUGAUGUCAAGGUUGGAGGUGAGCUGAAAGGCGCAGGGGGUAGCUCUGUGGAAAGCACAGUGUUCACUGUGUUGGGAGGGCUGGGACCCAAGUUACUCCACCCCUAGUCCCCCACUUCUGCACCAGUGGUAGCCCUGGGCAGGCCAUCAACCUUAGAUAUCUGAAUAUGAGAAUCAUCAUCUGCCCUGCCUGCCUUGCACAACUACUGCUCUACAUUAAAUCAGAAAGGAGAUGAGAAAAUUCUCUAGAAGCCUAAAAGCAAUAUAGAAAUAGAAACUGUUGUAACAAUCAUCAUUUGCUUUUUCAGAGUGUCUUGCAGCCUGUAUAGGGCUUUCCUAUCCAGUAACCUCCUAACCCUCAAAACAACUCUGGGAGAUAGGUAUGGAUAUGUAUACUCAAUUUACAGAUGUGAAAACUGAGGAACAGAUAGUUCCAGCCCAGAAUCACACCAAUAACAAGGGGCUGAGGUGACAGCUAUGUCCAGGUCUUCUGCUGCAAAUAGAGUAUUCUAUUUACCACACCAAGAUGUACCCUCCAUUGUCUAAAAUCACAAGCUCUGGCUGUACAGAAAACCCUCCUUAUUCUUCAGUCUUUCUAUGGAUUUGUUGAUUCCUCCUCCUUCUUCAAUCCAUCCGUGGAUUUGCUGAUUGACAAAUGAGCUUCCCUGGUCUCCUUGUCAUGGCACUGUUUGGGGGAGUUUGUGGUCAGAGUUUUUAUCUGAGGACAAGAAACCAGGCUGCAGCCUGGGCUCAGCCUCUUAUCCAUUGUGGGGCUAAGGAAGAGUCCCUGUCCCCCAGUAUUCUCCAAUCCCAUCUGAUGUUAAAACCUCUUAAUGACCCUGAUCUAAGCAUUUCCAGAAAAAGGUUCUCAGGGCCUUUCUGGGGGUGGCGGGGGCAAUCCUUUGUGACAGCAUGAAAAGCCGGAUGGGGCUGGCCUGGUUGCAAUGGCACACGCUAGGUUCCAGGCACUCCACACGUUUCUCAUGAUAACCUCGUGGUUGAUACUCACACAGAUGAGGAGCUGAAAGGCUGCAGGAGCUGCCCACCAUCCUCACACAGCGUGGAAGUGGUAGCACCAAGACUGAGGCCCAGGAGGGGGGUCCAAAGGGCCAUCCUGCAUUUUCCAUUGCAGCAGGGUGGGAAGGAGAGGGAGAUAGAGACUUUACCUCUACUCUAAAUCACCUCCUUAGGUUGCCAUAUUUUCCUUACUUCAAUGAAUUAUGUGGAACAAAAUACACUCAAUUGGUAGCAGAAAUCGGCCUCCAGUUUCUCAGAUCCUCAUUCAACGAAAGCAUCCUUUGCAGGUGCCACUGCUUGGGAAUACACCUGUAAUUCACAUCUGCACACAAAACUCCAUCUUUCUUUGAGGCCUGAACAAACAGGUUUUUGUCGUUUUGUGGUUUUUGUUUGUUUGUUUGUUUAAGAGAUGGGGUCUCACUAUGUUGCCCAGGCUGGCCUCAAACUCCUGGGCUCAAGGGACCCUACUGCCUCAGCCUCCAGAGUAGCUGGGAUGACAGGUGCACACCACUGUGUCCAGCUUUACAAAUAGGUUUCUUAGGCUGACCUUAUCAAUCUCAACAUCAACACAAUUAAGGAAUUUGCUCACAAUAGUCUCCUGUUGGAGUCUUUACGUGCACGAACAUCGUUCUCACAGACCAUCCAAUAUGGACAAACUUGACUUGGAAACAGGAAAAUAGGGAGGUAAUUAAUCACCUGGUAAAAGGACACACCCCAGAUGUACUUUUCACAUCACCAUCCCCAAAUAUGCCUUAAGGGGCAUCAAGGUAACAUCCCAGCUUUAUACCACAUGAAUAGAGCUUCUCUAUUCAUGUGGUUUUCAGAACAUAUCCAUCUACUAGACUCAGGAACUUGACUUGAGAGACAUGGAUAUUUCUUGCUUCCUGGCAGCAAAUCCAACAGCAAUUCCAGUCCCUGCAGCCAGUUAGGCAGGGAGGAAAGGGCUGGUGUGUCAGGGCUGGUCCAAGCACACUGGUAUACUUGAGUCAACAUCUGCAGCAGAGGAAGGGAGACAGAGGGGACUGAAUAAACGGAGCUGUGCCAUUGGGAGUCCACCAAGCACGCCAAUGCCCUCCUACGCCCCUCAGCUCCAGGCCUCCUGGCCUCACACCACCCUAGAACAUUCUUGUUGCCCAAACCUCAGAGGAGGGCUUUCCCUGAACCAACUCUGACUUCCUGCUUCCUCUCUGACCCUACAUGGUGGUACUCCACCUCUGCCAGACAUCCCUUCCCUGCUCUGCCUGCAGCUUCAUCAAAGCCUACUGGGCCCUGGAGAAGAGAGCCAUGCCAAUCCCCCCUGCAGUGAGCUAGCACAGUGCAUUCAGGUUAGUUACUUUCCUUCUUGGGCAUCUCUGGUUUAUAACAUGAGCCUCUUGGAGAGGGCGGUAUUUUGAACAAAAGGAAAUAAUCUUUCAUUGUGAAAUUUCAAGGACUGUGGGGGAAGAAAUCCAGUGAGGCUGGAGGGCAGUAAUGGGGGAACAGAGAGAUCUCUGAGAUACAACAAUGUCACACGGACCAGCCAUGAGCUACUACUGGAAAUCUGUUUUUCAAAAUUUAAAAGAGUCAAUUUCCAGAUGUCUGCUUAGCGGAGCCAAACUGCUGUUGAUUUGUUCCCAGUUCGCCACGGAAUAAAGUCUGAACUCCUCACCCGAGCACUCCAGACCUUCCACGUUCUGGCUCCCAUAAAGCCUGCUCUCCUUCCUGCCCCUCCUAGGAACCCCACUUAGCCAUUCGCUUCCGCACUAUCCUGCAGACCUGCUCGGGGCUUCCCAGCCUGCACACUAGCCCAGGCCUGAGCAUGCUCCUUUACCAGCACCACUGCACUGCACAACUCCAGUGGGUGCCGUGCUCAUGCCAGGCUGUGUGUGUGCAGUGCACAGCAUGGCAAUCCAUGUGCUGCCUCAUCCAUAGCCUCCACUUCAGGAAGUCUCCCGUGCACCCCUGCAACCUUCCUCUUCUCAAUUUCUUUGUUGCCUAGAACCUGCAGCUCACUUCAGGCACUGGACACUCCCUGCUUCACAUUCUCUUGAUCUGAGUGGGUGGGGGUAGGUCCCCAAUCAGAGCACAAAUGCCCUGAGGGCAGUGACUGAGUCCUAAGACCUCACACCCCAGGUGAGCGGGCUGAGAAGUUCACGUUGGCUUUCUACUGUGAACUUUUCCUGGGCCAGCAUCCACAGCAGCAACAGGCAACUUGCUAGAAAUGCACAUUCUGGGGCCCCACCCCAGAAGUCUUGAAUCAGAUGCUCUGGUGGUGGGGCCCAGCACCUGUUUUGGCAAGCCCACCAGGCAACUCCGAUGCGCAUGAGGCUUGAGACCCACUGAGUUAUAGGAUCCUCAACAUCCUUUCUGGGUUUAUUCAACAGGGUUUUCCAGCUAGGGAAGGGGCAGGCAUCAUCUUGUCGGACUGUUACAGAGACCCCAUCCCCAGGUAUUUCUCAGGCAUCUCCAAGUGAACUCGCUCAGAAAGCCUCCAUGCAGCCUGAAGUGCUAUCAUGCCAAGGUUGCCAGCCAACAGCGCAGAGCAGCCAGGAUGCUUCAGCGCUCCUCCAAAGGGCUCUCCUGUUCAACAAGCCUUCCCUGGGCCCUGCUAGCUGGGUGGUUACAUUAUUCAGCAACCAAGUAGAGUUUAACAGUGUCCCUGUCUCCCAACCAAGCAAUUCACCCCAACUGUGCUACGGGCUUUUCCAACACAAAGCAGGGCAGUGUUCAGGAACUUGGCAACAGGAAGGCCCUCCUCCAGGUCCCCACACCUUUUCACAGUCUGCCCAGGCUAAAGCCCCUGGCAUCCCAUCUCCUAGGGCAGAAGUGAGUAAGGAAGGGAGGUCAGACCAGAUAUAAAGAGCCAGAUCCCAGCGCCACUCUGGACUUACAGAAUCAGAAUUGCUAGGAGUACCUGGGGAUCCAGAUGUUGAUCAAGUCUCCCUGCCAUUCUUAUCGGACAAUUCAAGAAAUGAUCAAUGGGCCGACGUGCAUUAUCUAACAGAUGAGGGAACUGA